GAUGAACGCUGGCGGCGUGCCUAAUACAUGCAAGUCGAGCGAACAGACGAGGAGCUUGCUCCUCUGACGUUAGCGGCGGACGGGUGAGUAACACGUGGAUAACCUACCUAUAAGACUGGGAUAACUUCGGGAAACCGGAGCUAAUACCGUAUAACAUGUUGAACCGCAUGGUUCAACAGUGAAAGACGGUCUUGCUGUCACUUAUAGAUGGAUCCGCGCCGCAUUAGCUAGUUGGUAAGUUAACGGCUUACCAAGGCAACGAUGCGUAGCCGACCUGAUAGGGUGGUCGGCCACACUGGAACUGAGACGCGGUCCAGACUCCUACGGGAGGCAGCAGUAGGGAAUCUUCCGCAAUGGGCGGAAGCCUGACGGAGCAGCGCCGCGUGAGUGAUGAAGGUCUUCGGAUCGUAAAACUCUGUUAUUAGGGAAGAACAAAUGUGUAAGUAACUAUGCACGUCUUGACGGUACCUAAUCAGAAAGCCACGGCUAACUACGUG
rnacentral:rRNA from 1 species